UGGGGCGUCGCCAAGUGGUAAGGCACCGGGUUUUGGUCCCGGCAUUCGGAGGUUCGAAUCCUCCCGCCCCAGCCA
rnacentral:tRNA from 1 species